rnacentral:rRNA from 1 species
GAUGAACGCUGGCGGCGUGCCUAAUACAUGCAAGUCGAGCGAACGGACGAGAAGCUUGCUUCUCUGAUGUUAGCGGCGGACGGGUGAGUAACACGUGGAUAACCUACCUAUAAGACUGGGAUAACUUCGGGAAACCGUAGCUAAUACCGGAUAAUAUUUUGAACCGCAUGGUUCAAAAGUGAAAGACGGUCUUGCUGUCACUUAUAGAUGGAUCCGCGCUGCAUUAGCUAGUUGGUAAGGUAACGGCUUACCAAGGCAACGAUGCAUAGCCGACCUGAGAGGGUGAACGGCCACACAGGAACUGAGACACGGUCCAGACUCCUACGGGAGGCAGCAGUAGGGAAUCUUCCGCAAUGGGCGAAAGCCUGACGGAGCAACGCCGCGUGAGUGAUGAAGGUCUUCGGAUCGUAAAACUCUGUUAUUAGGGAAGAACAUAUGUGUAAGUAACUGUGCACAUCUUGACGGUACCUAAUCAGAAAGCCACGGCUAACUACGUG